AUGUUAACAAUGUUACUGGAAUUUGAUAAUGGACCAUUUGUAGUUGAUAAUGGUUUAUAAAUGUUUUAUGUUAACAGUUUGUAAUUUUUAUAUUUUUCUAUGCAUUUGAAACAUUUGAAACAUUCUUUCAGGCACCGUCGUGAUCUACAUAAACGACGUGAAUGACAAUCCACCUGUAUUUGAAAAGACAGAUAACUUUUAUGUAGUGGUAUCAGAGACGGCCUCUGUAGGCUCAGAGAUUGCUAGUGUUUCUGUGAGUAUUACUAUGUAAAUUGAAUGUAAGAUAUUUUCUCUUUGACAAGGUAUAUCAAAAACAUUGUAGUGUUGCUCAUAAAUGAUGUCGUUUUUACAAUCUCGGAUGUAGCCUGAAAUGUAAAUCCAGCAAUAUGACAUAAUUUUGGUACCAUACCCAAUGGGACAGCUUUUGUUAGCAACAACAAACUAAAUAUAAAUAUUCACCUUGAAUAAAUAAACCUGGAGUGUAGUUUUAUAUGAAUGUAACUUGUUCUGAAUUUCUGUUUUUAUUUUUAGGCUACAGACCGCGAUUCUGGGAGAAACAGACACAUGACAUUUUCAAUAGCUGCAGUAAAUUUCGUGGAUGAUGUCACCAACAUUACAUCCAAUAAAGAGCUUGUGUUUAAAGUUGUCAGCACUCAGGAAGAUGAUAAAUUCGUUGGAAAGAUUCAGAACAAUGAAGCGCUAAAUAUUGACGUUAAAGGAAAGUAUCUAGUGACAGUUGUGGCAAGAAACACUGAAAUGCCCAACCUAUUCUCGGAAACCAAACUCGAGAUCUUAACAGUGGACAAGAGCUUAAAGGUUGAACUUCUAUUUUCAAAACCAGAGGCCCAAGUUAAAGCAGAAGCGAGCUUGAUCACAAUGUAAGAGAACUUUAUUCAAAAUAUUUAUUGUUAAAUAAAAAUAGUGUUAAAAUCAAUCAGAGCUGUU
rnacentral:lncRNA from 1 species